CGUACUCCCUCCGAAGCCACCUCCGUGCCAGCUGCUGGUCUCCAGUCAGUGUGGCCAUCCGGCCCCACUCUGCGCGGGACGUGGGACCUAAUCGUGGCACAGUUUUUCUGAGAAAGUGCAGCCUAGGUGCAGAGCCCCUCCACUUGCAGAUCCAGUCUUCCCACCGAGCUCUGCCACUCCUGCUCACAAGACUUUCCUUCCCCCAGCUGAAUCAUCACCAAGGACUCCACCCCACAAAUUCCUCCUGGAGAAAUGUCAUUCUCUGCCCAUUUCACAGAGCAUCCCCAUGGAGCUGGAUCAAGUGAGCUGGAGGAGACCCAGAAAGCCUUGCACAGGUAACUUGGACCAGGGCUCCAAGACACUAGAAACCUACAGGAACACUGAUGGAUACUGGAAACCCCAGGGACCAAGAUACAAGCAAGUUAAUGAAGUAAGACCUCUUUCUUAGUUUCAUUAGAACUUGCCAGGCCUCUAGGACCAUUUAUUUCCUCUAAGCUUUCCUUUUCCUAGACAUAUUUCAAGUGUUGGAGCUUCCAACAUGAGGAAUGGAAACUAUUUUAAAAAUGGGUUUCUGGGCUAUUUUAUGGCUCCAUAAAAGUUGGGAGCAUUAACCUUUUUUCCUUGAGGUUAAUUUUUCUGAGAUAAAUC
rnacentral:lncRNA from 1 species